UACAGAGGGUGCGAGCGUUGUUCGGAAUUAUUGGGCGUAAAGGGCGUGUAGGCGGUGCUCCAAGUCUGUCGUGAAAUCUCCCGGCUCAACUGGGAGGGUGCGGCGGAAACUAGAGUGCUCGAGUGUGGGAGAGGUAAGCGGAAUUCCUGGUGUAGCGGUGAAAUGCGUAGAUAUCAGGAGGAACACCUGCGGUGUAGACAGCUUACUGGACCACGACUGACGCUGAGACGCGAAAGCGUGGGUAGCAAACAGG
rnacentral:rRNA from 1 species